rnacentral:rRNA from 1 species
AAUCACUUGUCUUUUAAAUGGAGACCCGUAUGAAAGGUAUAACGAGGGCUUAACUGUCUCCUCUUUCCAGUCAAUGAAAUUGAUCUUCCCGUGCAGAAGCGGGAAUUCUAACAUAAGACGAGAAGACCCUGUGGAGCUUAAGACCUAAGCGUAGCCCACAUGCAAAGCCCCAUGACCAGCGGGGUUAGCCAAGUGAACACUGCACUCGUGUCUUCGGUUGGGGUGACCACGGGGUAAACACAACCCCCGUGUGGACAGGGAGCACUAGCGGCCAAUCACCACUAACCCACAACUCCACUCCUCAAAACAAGAGCGCCAGCUCUAGUUAACGAAACUUUCGACUUAAAAUGAUCCGGAAUAACCGAUCAACGAACCAAGUUACCCCAGGGAUAACAGCGCAAUCCCCUUCAAGAGCCCGUAUCGCCAAGGGGGUUUACGACCUCGAUGUUGGAUCAGGACAUCCUAAUGGUGCAGCUGCUAUUAAGGGUUCGUUUGUUCAACGAUUAA